CCUAACUAACUUUCUAUGGUGAAAUAAAUCACCGUAGAAACCAAGAGGUGACAUGUGGAGUAUAGAAUCAUCAAGAGAGGUAAUUAGUGCCUCUUGGAAAUUUAUUUAAAGGAGGCACUACUUGCAUGUUGGCGUGCCAACUUUUGUGCUUAUUCCUUGUUGUUUAGGCAUAGGUUUAAGAGAGAAAAAAUCAAAAAAGUAAGGAAAGAAAAAGACAAAGA
rnacentral:lncRNA from 1 species